CCUACGGGGGGCAGCAGUGAGGAAUAUUGGUCAAUGGCCGAGAGGCUGAACCAGCCAAGUCGCGUGAGGGAAGACGGCCCUACGGGUUGUAAACCUCUUUUGUCGGGGAGCAAAGCGAGUCACGUGUGACUCAUUGAGAGUACCCGAAGAAAAAGCAUCGGCUAACUCCGUGCCAGCAGCCGCGGUAAUACGGAGGAUGCGAGCGUUAUCCGGAUUUAUUGGGUUUAAAGGGUGCGCAGGCGGAGGUGCAAGUCAGCGGUCAAAUUGCGGGGCUCAACCCCGUACUGCCGUUGAAACUGCAGCCCUUGAGUGCGCGAGAAGUAUGCGGAAUGCGUGGUGUAGCGGUGAAAUGCAUAGAUAUCACGCAGAACUCCGAUGGCGAAGGCAGCAUACCGGCGCGCAACUGACGCUCAUGCACGAAAGCGUGGGUAUCGAACAGGAUUAGAUACCCCUGUAGUC
rnacentral:rRNA from 1 species